rnacentral:misc_RNA from 1 species
UUCCCUCGAUAAAAUAUCCCAUGCAUUUAAGCCUCAUUUUGAGUUUCUGCCUUUUAUGAAUUGGGCUUCAAAGGAAAAUUAUUUUAUUCUUUGAAAUGUAACCCAGCAGCAUAUCAUCUUAUGUGCUGCAUGGUAAGCCAUUUAGAAAGGAAAGGGCCCAAUCCUCCCCUUGGCUCUGGAUUUAUGCUGGGUACCCGUACCUAUAAGAUCUCAUCACCAUCAUAUGGUAGCAUUUUCUACCAGAUUUGGGUCUUGGUACUAGAAGUACAUAUAACAUACUGUAAUUACUGAAUAUUA